UUUUGUACUAUAAUGUCUAAGUGUUUGAACACUAAAUUUUUGGUUCUGGUGUUUUCUUUAUUUUUGAGGUAUGAAGCAACUCUUGAUCCGUGGAUGCUGUCUUUGUGGUAGGUAGGGAAAAAUUAAAGAAGUUUGUGUGGGGUUUUGUAACAGAGCAGUGGCUGUGUGGCUUGCUACAGAGAACCCAGAUCAACUAAAACUCCUCUAAAUGAUCCACUUUCCAAUUCCGUAUCUCAAACGGUUAAAAACCUAUCGUCUCUGAAAAUUUCUGAUCAACAAGCACAGUUGAUAUGGAUAACAUCACCUUUCCUUCUCAGGGAGGAAGCAUAUCAUCCAGCUAGACUUUUGAAUCUCAAUCUGUUUCCAGAAACUCAAAUCCGCUGCCUGAGUUUGUAAACCAAGGCCUUCUUCUUUGGAAUCAGACAAGUGAGCAUUGUGUGGGCAAAGAAAGACCUAAUACAACCCACCGGAUCGCAAUCAAGGAUCCAAGAUAAAUUGGAGCGCAGCAUCGUAUGAUAGCCUUAAGAACGCUGAAGUAAUGAGACCACUGAUCACCGUCUCCUCAUUGUCCCGUCUACUUUUCUUUAUGGGACGAAGCUGCAUCAAUGUUUAGGGGUCUCCUUAAUUCAGGGGAUAUAACUUAAUCUGUCAAUGUGGUCACAAGUGUGAUCCCAACAUAUUUGGAGGAGCUGCAUUAUGGAAUGGUGCAUUGAGAAGCAAGAAUGCCCACUUUGUCGAACACCCAACACCCACUCAAGUUUAUUUUGUUUGUACAACUGAUUUUUAAGCUCAAAUGGGGAUCAACAAAGACACAACAGUGCAAAAAGGCAUGAAAAGCAAAGGAAGAUGAUAGGCCCAAAUAGUUUACACCAGCUUCUUAGUGACAACUUGGGACAGUAAUAUAUUCUACAAGAAUGGCAUCUGUUUUGUCUUAAGAAAUCGAAGUAAGAUCAUCAAGAAGUGAAAAGACACCAAGAGAGAUUUGAGAGUUGAUUAUGGUAUGAAUUAAAAUAGUGUUCGAUUCUGCCCCUAGUAUAUAUAAUGCAUCCGAUUGGACUCGCUUGGAUGGAUUUUGAUUCAUAAGAAAAGGAUAAUUAAUAGAUAAAUC